CGUCGCGUUUUUAUGGUGCGUCAUUGUGGUAGUAAUUUUCGCGUAAUUUCUUUAAAGGACAGCACAAGGUGUGUUGGAUGCGGGUGUAGUAUGUGUACUUCAGGCGGAGCCUACGGGUACCGAACGUGAAAAAGAAAUGAAAAUAUAUCGGAUGUUUCAUUGUUCGUGUGUCCUCAACUAAUUGUGACAGCACAUAGAGUUGUAGAGAAUUAAGUACCGCUACGCGUCAGUAUACGGCGCAGGCAGGUAAAUAAUACUUUGGUUUGGCUAAUUCAUUCUGUUACUAAAGAUGGGCGCAUACUUAUACCGGUUUCACACGGCCACUUUCGAUCACGAUUGAGCCUGUUCUGGAUCGAAAUUUUCGACUGCGAUCGGCUCCCGUCCGCAGAUUCAGCAAGGAAGCCAAACGUGACCAGAAAUUCGAUCCCAGUCAGGAUCGAUCGCGGCCAAAAGUGUGCAGUGGGACAACCGUAUUAAAUGUCGCUUGUGUACUUGCACUCGUUUUUUUUUCCCAGGUCACGUGGUAGGUAAUGAUGCAGGUAGCUUACAAUGCUUGUGCUUUCAUCGCUAGAACUAAUACAAAAGAACCACAACCAUCCCGGCUAUGUGGCUAUCCUUCGUUUUCAGUUGUACUCGUUUGUUCUAGAAGCUUUCGUGCCGUUGCGGAUGAACGCGUGGUUGCGCUAUUUGUUUAUGAAUUUAUCUUUGUGUAAAUAAGUACACCGAGCCUAAUCAUUUUUUUUCUCGACCUUGAACUCGUUUUUUGGUUUCACGCACGCAUGCUUAUUACUACUACUAUUUGUUUUCUUGUUGUACGACUGAACCCUGCCUAAGGCGUCCUGUCAGUGGUCGACAGUAUUUCUGAAAUGAAUUGCACUGAACAUCCUACGGCUAUUCUACGUUUCACUGCCUUAUUCUAAUGUCUAGUUAUAAAGCGUAUGGUUAUUGUAACUAUUCUUGGCUUGUAUAUAUGUAUGUAUUAAGCUGGUAAAUGCUUAAUUGUGUUUGCAGUUUUGAGAGGUUCUUUUAUUAAGUGGUCAAUCUCGGGUGGUAUUAAUGGUGAGUUGUUUUCUUGUGCCCAUGCAGUUGGUCAGCAUGAAGCAAUUGCAUGGGAACCGGCUGAUUGUCUUGGGCCUACACAUUGCUCAAAAGACAGUGAAGGUGUCUGAGCCGACAGGUAGAAAACAAGCAGAUGGCUGCAGCGAUCAAUGAAGAAAUGGCUUCAUCUAUGAUGGCUCGCCUUAGGACAUUGGAAUGGAGCUACACAAAGGCAUCACCAGCCUCGCCUGUGCACUGGAACAUUGGUUUGAAUAAGACUGUCCUUCAGUGUAGAACGACCACAAGACUUGUCACCACAUACAAGGCGUAGUGCAAGCUCUAAAUAUUGUACAGGUGGCUAGAAUAAAUGACCCUCUAUGCAGUCAC